GGGGUAAAGGCUCACCAAGGCAACGAUCAAUUAACCGGGUUCUGAAAAGGAUGAUCCGCCACACUGGGACUGAGACACGGCCCAGACUCCUACGGGAGGCAGCAGUGGGGAAUUUUGGACAAUGGGCGCAAGCCUGAUCCAGCCAUGCCGCGUGUCUGAAGAAGGCCUUCGGGUUGUAAAGGACUUUUGUCCGGGAGCAAAUCCCAGUGGUUAAAUACCUACUGGGGCUGAGAGUACCGGAAGAAUAAGCACCGGCUAACUACGUGCCAGCAGCCGCGGUAAUACGUAGGGUGCAAGCGUUAAUCGGAAUUACUGGGCGUAAAGCGUGCGCAGGCGGUUGUGCAAGUCUGAUGUGAAAGCCCCGGGCUUAACCUGGGAACGGCAUUGGAGACUGCACGACUAGAGUGCGUCAGAGGGGGGUAGAAUUCCGCGUGUAGCAGUGAAAUGCGUAGAGAUGCGGAGGAAUACCGAUGGCGAAGGCAGCCCCCUGGGAUGACACUGACGCUCAUGCACGAAAGCGUGGGGAGCAAACAGGAUUAG
rnacentral:rRNA from 1 species